GUUUCUUAUCCUCUGCAUCUUCCUCCUUCGUUUGGUUAUGAGUAUCAAAGCAAUACAUCUUCCUUUUAUCCAAAAUUUCCACGACCUGUCUGGAGAACCGUCUUUCUAACAUGGUUUUAUGAGGGGAAAUGAAUGUAAAGGAUACUACAUCUGCUCCAUCACUUCUAUUAUCUUCUUUCCACCUUGACUGUGUACACUCAUC